rnacentral:rRNA from 1 species
AGCGGCGGACGGGUGAGUAACGCGUGGGUAACCUGCCUCAUACACAUGGAUAACAUACCGAAAGGUAUGCUAAUACAAGAUGAUAUAAGAGAUUCGCAUGGAUUUCUUAUCAAAGCUUCGGCGGUAUGAGAUGGACCCGCGUCUGAUUAGCUAGUUGGUAAGGUAACGGCUUACCAAGGCGACGAUCAGUAGCCGACCUGAGAGGGUGAUCGGCCACAUUGGAACUGAGACACGGUCCAAACUCCUACGGGAGGCAGCAGUGGGGAAUAUUGCACAAUGGGCGAAAGCCUGAUGCAGCAACGCCGCGUGAGCGAUGAAGGCCUUCGGGUCGUAAAGCUCUGUCCUCAAGGAAGAUAAUGACGGUACUUGAGGAGGAAGCCCCGGCUAACUACGUGCCAGCAGCCGCGGUAAUACGUAGGGGGCUAGCGUUAUCCGGAUUUACUGGGCGUAAAGGGUGCGUAGGUGGUUUCUUAAGUCAGGAGUGAAAGGCUACGGCUCAACCGUAGUAAGCUCUUGAAACUGGGAAACUUGAGUGCAGGAGAGGAAAGUGGAAUUCCUAGUGUAGCGGUGAAAUGCGUAGACAUUAGGAGGAACACCAGUAGCGAAGGCGGCUUUCUGGACUGUAACUGACACUGAGGCACGAAAGCGUGGGGAGCAAACAGGAUUAGAUACCCUGGUAGUCCACGCCGUAAACGAUGAGUACUAGGUGU